GACGAACCGUGCGAACGUUAUUCGGAAUCACUGGGCUUAAAGCGCGUGUAGGCGGGCCGCCGCGUCGGCUGCGGAAAUCCCCCGGCUCAACCGGGGAACGGGCACCGAUACGGGCGGCCUCGAGGGGGGUAGGGGGGUCUGGAACUUCCGGUGGAGCGGUGAAAUGCGUUGAGAUCGGAAGGAACGCCCGUGGCGAAAGCGAGGCCCUGGACCCUUACUGACGCUGAGACGCGAAAGCCAGGGGAGCGAACGGG
rnacentral:rRNA from 1 species